rnacentral:ncRNA from 12 species
GGAAGCCGUAAACGGGUGGGCAGACCGAAAGGAAGCCCGACGCUGCUGUUAUGCGUGGUUAGCCCUGCCUACGGCUUCCUU